rnacentral:lncRNA from 1 species
UCGUCUCUCAGACCCCAUCCCUCUCAAAAGAUAGAAAACCUUAGUAGCUGCCACCACAUUCCCACCCUUUUAGGGUGGCGGCGCCAGCCGCAACCGCUCCCAAUUAACACCCCAGCAUCCCCACGAUCCCCUCUUCACUAAUCUAUUACUGAUAACCCUCGAAUCAUCUCCCAACCCUUUGAAUCUUGAUUUGAAGAUGGGAUCCCUAAAAUCCUAUGUCGAAAUCAGUAGCCCAUUUGAAGAUUUAGGAUCGUAAUAGGCCAUAAUCGUGUGUUUAUGCAUGAAAACACACUGUUAGGGUCUAUUUCGGUCAAUAAAUUGAAAGGGAUUUCAAGUUGUCUUUGAGCUUACAUCUGUGCAAUUUAGGUAUGGUUCCGAUUUCGUUAUUGUUUUCUUCUUUUCUGGUAUUGCAUAUUCUUUCUUUGUCUUCAACUAAGCUAAGUUGCAUGUGUUAUUCCGUUCCUUCCCUUUCUUUGUUUUUCAAUUCUUGACUAGGUUGGUUAGGAUUUCUCCAUUUUGGCAAGGGGUAAAAAAUCAAAAUCUGAGAGUUGACAUAUUUGUUUGCCUAUAAAGGCACCAUGUCUUGCCUUAGAAGGCAUACUUUAAGAGUUAAAAAAUUCCAGAAAAAAUACAAGGCUGCAGAAAUAAAUUUCACUAUUUUAUUGAAUUCAGUUCCUUGAUUCAGUAAGCGUUUGUGAUUGUUUGAAUUUGGGUUUCAAGCUCGGUUAGAGGUUUUGCUGAUCAGAUUACUAUUCUAUUGGGUUUCUGGGUCAAUCUCAUUGCUAAUUUCUGCUAUGUUAUGCUACUAAUGCUACUGAAUCUCACUUCUCUUUGUUUCCUCUUUUACGGGUAUAUUUUGAUCCUUACGGACAUCACUUGAGGUGUAACUUGAAUCAUGAUUAAAGAAUGAGGAAAUUGUGAUGUUGUUUGUAGAUCUCACCCUCUCUUCUUUCAGUUAUACUAACAUUGUGUACCUCUUGAAGUUUUAAUUAAUGUAUUCUAUCAAAAAUGGUUUAUAAUUAAGCGUUAAAUCAUGUAGAAUGACUUUCCUUCUUAUUUUGACUGUUGGAUGCUGUAAGUAGUGUUAGAUAUUUGAGUAAGUUGAUCUGGUUCACGGAUGCUAAAGACUGGAUAUGCUUUUAGUUCAAUUAGGAUGAUGAUUCAAAUAAAAUGGAACAGAAAGAGUAUUAAUUAGAAUACCUUUGUGUUAGUUUCAGUAGUGAUUUUCAUAUGGGUGUUGAGUUAUAAGUUAGAUGUGCAUUGAGGUUGAUUAUAGUAUUUGUAUGGGAGGCAAAAGACAUAUGCCUUGUUUCGUUGUGCAGGAUCAAAGUUUGCCGUGGAGACUUGGGCUCUAUCAUGAGACAGUUUUGGAUUAGCAUCGAUCUGGAAAUCGACAGGACCACGUCUGUGAGCCAUCAGGCUUCAUGUUGGGCCCAAUUUUGAUUUCACGCUUUUGGCCUUUUUUUUCAUUUAUCAGAAUGCAACUCUUGGUCCAGUCAUAUAAGAAUCCUUGUCCAUUAAUUCUCGAGCAUUUACAGUUUUAAUAAUUCCCUUCGAUUAAUCUCUUUUUUUGUUAGUAUUUGAGGCGAGCCAUAAUUAGUAAUUCAUAGUAUAUGGCUCUCACGAAUUAGCUUAGAAACGUUUAAGCUAAAAUAAGUUGAGAUGUUCCAAGACAAAUAAGAUUCAAAUGCUUGGCCCUCGUUUAAUUACUUUUUCUUAAAAUACUUAGAAUUCGAGGC